rnacentral:rRNA from 1 species
UUAUAAGAGACAGCAGCAGCCGCGGGAAUACAGAGGGUGCAAGCGUUAAUCGGAAUUACUGGGCGUAAAGCGCACGCAGGUGGUUUGUUAAGUCAGAUGUGAAAUCCCCGAGCUUAACUUGGGAACUGCAUUUGAAACUGGCAAGCUAGAGUCUUGUAGAGGGGGGUAGAAUUCCAGGUGUAGCGGUGAAAUGCGUAGAGAUCUGGAGGAAUACCGGUGGCGAAGGCGGCCCCCUGGACAAAGACUGACGCUCAGGUGCGAAAGCGUGGGGAGCAAACAGGAUUAGAUACCCCGGUAGUCCCUGUCUCUUAUAC